rnacentral:tRNA from 1 species
GUGGGUGUAGCUCAAUAGGAAAGAGCAUGCCUAGCAUGCACAAGGUCCUGGGUUCGAUCCCCAGUACCUCCA